AUGUGUAAUGGGGUGAGCUUAGAGGGGCGUGUCAUUUGACUUUGUGAUGGAGCCGGACGGAAGUUGAGCGCACGGACCCUUUAAAAGUGGGGAACAUUCCUUUCUUCGGGUUCUCUCUCUGUUUUGGGAAACUGGCUGCAGUGGAGGUGUGUAACGACUCCCUUACCUGUGUAAGCACAAGGUUUAUACCUUUUCCGGACCUCUCUUAGUCGCGCUGAACACCAAGGUAGUUCCCGCAUCAAACUUCUAUUUCAUCUGCGUGACAUUGUCCGCUAUUGUGCAUCAGAGGAACGCUGAUUUUCUGCGCUGUGCGUGGGCCUGUGGGUACUUCCAAAUCAUUCACAGUCGUGUGAUCCAGAUUUAUGAAUGGUGCGUUGACAUUGCUGGGGGGCCUGAUCAAGGUGCGCUACAGAGGGCUGCUGUUUCGCUGCUGUGGAAUUUACAGUCGUUGGACAUUCCUGUUGAUGCUCUCAAUCUUCUGACGUUUCAUCCUGUGUGUGCGUUCGUGCGUGUGUGUGUGUGCGUGUGUGUGUGUGUGUGUGUGUGUGUUUAGUAAUGAUGUGUGACUGCGUGGAGUAUUAGGUUUAGCUGUUAAAUUGUGUAUUGGUGUUUUGUUUGUUUACCCCCAUGUGUGUAUUUUGAGAGGUCACACGGGUAUUAGACCAUUUAUUAUUCUGUACAUCUGACUCAUAUAAGUGACCUGGGGAAUUUGUAUUGCCUAUUUCAUUUAUAAUCUUUUUUUUGUUUCUUUUUUGUGUGGAGGUUGGUUUGUUUAAUUGAAAUGGUUUGUUUCACUAACUGGAAGUGAUUGGUUUUUUUACUUUGUGUGUGGGAUUUUCUUUCUUUAUAUUGGUACCAAUUAGUAUUAUUAUUGUGUGAUUCAUUACCUCAGGGUAUCUAUGAGACAAAUGGUCUAAGAACUAAGUGUCCCCCCACAUAUGGUAUGAAUGCUGUGUAGUGUGUUUACGCCUUUUAUGUGAAUGUGGAUGUUUGUAUUUUUAUACCACUAAAUUAAAGAUUGAAUAAGCACACCCUUGUUGUCUUCCUCCAUUUGGUUGGGGGGCCUGUUGUAAGGGGAAUUGAAUAGUAAUACCCCUUUGUUACAUAU